GUGUACAAGGCCCGGGAACGUAUUCACCGCGGCAUGCUGAUCCGCGAUUACUAGCAAUUCCGACUUCAUGCAGGCGAGUUGCAGCCUGCAAUCUGAACUGAGAUGAUUUUUCGGGUUCUGCUUCACAUCGCUGUGUUGCUUCCCUCUGUUUGAUCACCAUUGUAGUACGUGUGUAGCCCAGGUCAUAAGGGGCAUGAUGAUUUGACGUCAUCCCCACCUUCCUCCGUUUUAUCAACGGCAGUCUCAUUAGAGUGCUCUUGCGUAGCAACUAAUGAUAAGGGUUGCGCUCGUUGCGGGACUUAACCCAACAUCUCACGACACGAGCUGACGACAACCAUGCACCACCUGUCUUCGUGUCCCGAAGGAAAAACUUAUCUCUAAGUUCGUCACUCGAUGUCAAGACCUGGUAAGGUUCUUCGCGUUGCUUCGAAUUAAACCACAUACUCCACUGCUUGUGCGGGCCCCCGUCAAUUCCUUUGAGUUUCAACCUUGCGGUCGUACUCCCCAGGUGGAUUACUUAUUGUGUUAACUCCGGCACGGGAGGGGUCAGUCCCCCCACACCUAGUAAUCAUCGUUUACGGCGUGGACUACCAGGGUAUCUAAUCCUGUNUGCUACCCACGCUUUCGAGCCUCAGCGUCAGUUACAGCCCA
rnacentral:rRNA from 1 species